rnacentral:lncRNA from 1 species
CCUGGGCGAGUGAGGGGCAGGUGGGGGCCCAGCUGGCAGGCACCUCUGAUGAGAGUCAGCUUGAUGUGGCCGUCUGGCUCCUCGGAGCGCACUCAGGGACAGAGGUGUGGAGCGGCACAGUCUGUGUUUGAAGGUGUUUCUCUACAGCAAGCACCGGGCGGGGAGGAGAAAAACCUAAACCACUUCAAGUGGAUUCUGAGUUUGAAAGCCACCACAUGAAAAGUGCAGAAACCUAAGCCCCCUUGAGUCCCGGCCCAAGAGUAACAGAUGGGACGGCAGCGGCCCAGGCCUGGCAACCGGCUCCCUGGGCCCCUUGGGAGCGAGUGUCUCCACUGCCAAGUGCACCCAGGGAGGGGGCGGGGAAGCUCUCAGUUCUGCACACCGACAGCUAAGAGCUGGACCGCGGUGCUGCUCCAAGCUGGUGCCCAAAGUGGGGUGACUUUCAUUUGUGGCCACAUGGCCCAGCCUAUCUGGAACUUCCUGAGGGUUAGGGUACAGGGGAAGUGUUUCAGCCUCCAGGGAAGACCCCAAAACACACCAUGACCCAGUGCUGAGUUAAACCCCUUACACCCUCCCUCCCAACCACGCUCCUUUCAACCCUGCUAUAACCCCUCCUGACACCCACACUCCCAUAAGGAAGGAGCCCCAAAUGCUUUCUCACCAUGUCUGGUGUCUCUGCUGCCGCCCUGACCUUUGACCCAGUUCCUUUGCCCUCUGCAUGAAAUCUGCCAGCUCCUGACCAUCAGCUGUUUGUUGACUGACCCCUGCCAAAGUCUGAUCGGGCCCUAAACUUGGGUGAGAUUAUUUUGUUCCUCCCUCUUCUCCUAUAUUUCAUGCACUCUGAAUUAUAAAUUACAAAAAAAGAAGUACGCCCCAAAUCAAAAUAUCAUCUCCUUCUGGAGUUACUGAUAGUAUGAUGUUGUGAAGAUUCACCAAAGGUGGAAACUUUCUUUUGUGGUGGUGUUUGGCAGGGGCCUUAAGGUCCCCUUAGUUGGACCCCUUGGAUAAUCCAGAGCUGCUGUCUGCUCCCCACUCUCUUCCCCCAACCCCUUGGGAACUUCCUCUCGCUCUCACCCCAGCUGGGGCGCAGUGCAACCCGUUGUCUUCUACAGAGGUCGCGGCAUCAGAAAGUCAUGGGCUCAGACAGUGCUGGGAGAAGAGAGAGCCAGGGCUCAUGGGGGCAUUAAACACCAUCUGAUGGUGGAAGCUGGGCUGGGUCAGGCCUGGUUGGACCUCAGAUGGAAGAACGGGUAUUUCAACUAGAGGCCAGCCUAGUUAUUGCAGUUAUGGGAACCCAUCCUCCACUUUACUGGAGUGUUAAAACCCUAUUGCUGCUGUAACCAAUGACCACAAACCUGGACUCUGAAUGACACAGAUUUAUCUAGAAGUCAGAAGCUCAUAUUGGGACUCACUGGGGCUAAAAUCAACACAUCAUCAGGGCCAUAUUUCUAGGAGAGACUCUGGGGGAGUGCUACAGUAUGAACCUGUUCCCCACAGGCCCUGUGUUGGAAACUCAACCCCUAAUGCCACAGUGUGGAGAGAUGGGGCCUAGGAAGAGGGGACCAGGUCACGGGGACUCUGAUCUCAUGAAUGGACUAAUAUUAUCACAGGGGUGACCUAGUUGUGAAUGUGACUUCAGUCUCCUAUUGUUCUCUCUUUCUUGCCUUUCUGUCUUCUACCAUGGGAUGAUGCAAAAGGAAGCCCUCACCAGAUGGGGCACAUCCACAUUGAACCUCCAGCUUCCAGUGCUGUGAAAUAAUCUCUAUAUUGGUAUAAAUUACCUAGUCUCAGGUAUUCUGUUUCAGCAGCCUGUGAUGGUCCAAGACAAGGAGCGUCUCUUUAAUGCCAUUUCCUGCUUCUGGAGUCCUCUCACAUUCCUUGGGUUGGGGCUCCUUCCUCCAUAUUCAAAGCCGGCAUCAUCAGGUGGAGGUCAUCUCACAUUGUCACUCUGACUCUUGCAUUUUCCUCUUCCACAGUGAAGGACCCUUGCAAUUACACUGGCCAAGCAAGUAACCCAGGGCCAUCUUAUUAUUUUAAGAUCAGUGAUGAGCAGCCUUAAUUCCCCCCUCCCUUUUGAGGAAAGACUGUAAGGGUAUGGCUCUGCCAGUGGCUCACGGGAUUCACAAGGCCCACUGUCACUGAAAAACAGGGAAGUGAAGUGUGGGGGUUUGAACUUAGGCUGCUGGGAACUACGUUUGUGCCAUCAGCACCCCCUCCACACCAAGUCAAGGCUCAGGGCAAAGGGUCAAGGCCACUGGCCAUCUUCUUAUGGGAAGAACUUCAUUUUGAGUCAAAAUGGUCGAAACUCUCCACUUGGUAUAGAGGAAAGGAUAAGGACUUGGAGAUCCACUCAGGCUUAACUUCAAGUCCAGGAGAUUAGUAGCUGUGUGACUUUGAGUGUGUUGUUUAAACUCUCUGAACAACAAAAUAACGCCUACUGCACAGGGAGUAACCCUGACAUAUAUGUUUAUCAUGUCUGACAUACAGAAUGAACAAAAUAAAG